rnacentral:rRNA from 1 species
UACAGAGGUCUCAAGCGUUGUUCGGAUUCAUUGGGCGUAAAGGGUGCGUAGGCGGCGCGGUAAGUGGGAUGUGAAAUCUCGGAGCUUAACUCCGAAACUGCAUUCGAUACUGCCGUGCUGGAGGACUGGAGAGGAGACUGGAAUUUACGGUGUAGCGGUGAAAUGCGUAGAUAUCGUAAGGAAGACCAGUGGCGAAGGCGGGUCUCUGGACAGUUCCUGACGCUGAGGCACGAAGGCCAGGGGAGCAAACGGG